rnacentral:rRNA from 1 species
AUUGAACGCUGGCGGCAGGCCUAACACAUGCAAGUCGAGCGGAUGAAGGGAGCUUGCUCCUGGAUUCAGCGGCGGACGGGUGAGUAAUGCCUAGGAAUCUGCCUGGUAGUGGGGGAUAACGUCCGGAAACGGGCGCUAAUACCGCAUACGUCCUGAGGGAGAAAGUGGGGGAUCUUCGGACCUCACGCUAUCAGAUGAGCCUAGGUCGGAUUAGCUAGUUGGUGGGGUAAGGCCUACCAAGGCGACGAUCCGUAACUGGUCUGAGAGGAUGAUCAGUCACACUGGAACUGAGACACGGUCUAGACUCCUACGGGAGGCAGCAGUGGGGAAUAUUGGACAAUGGGCGAAAGCCUGAUCCAGCCAUGCCGCGUGUGUGAAGAAGGUCUUCGGAUUGUAAAGCACUUUAAGUUAGGAGGAAGGGCAGUAAGUUAAUACCUUGCUGUUUUGACGUUACCAACAGAAUAAGCACCGGCUAACUUCGUG